GGGGAAUAUUGCACAAUGGGGGAAACCCUGAUGCAGCAACGCCGCGUGAGUGAAGAAGGUCUUCGGAUCGUAAAGCUCUGUCUUUGGGGACGAUAAUGACGGUACCCAAAGAGGAAGCCACGGCUAACUACGUGCCAGCAGCCGCGGAAAUACGUAGGUGGCAAGCGCUGUCCGGAAUUAUUGGGCGUAAAGGAUGCGUAGGCGGAUAUAUAAGUCAGAUGUGAAAUACCCGAGCUCAACUUGGGUACUGCAUUGGAAACUGUAUGUCUAGAGUGCGGGAGAGGAAAGUGGAAUUCCUAGUGUAGCGGUGAAAUGCGUAGAGAUUAGGAAGAACACCGGUGGCGAAGGCGACUUUCUGGACCGUAACUGACGCUGAGGCAUGAAAGCGUGGGUAGCAAAC
rnacentral:rRNA from 1 species